rnacentral:lncRNA from 1 species
AAAAUAUUGAUAAAAUGAAAUAUUAUAAUGAAUAUAAUUUUUUUUUACAUUACAAUAAUUUGUAAAAAUCGAAUUAUAAUUUAAUUAAUAAAACAUAAGAUCUAAUUAGUUUUGCCAAUUUCAUUCAAAAAAUAAUAAUUGUACCUAAAUUCGAUAUAUGAUAAAUAAGUAUAUAUAUGUACAAUAUUUUAUUUUACUUUUAAAUAAUAAUUAUUUUAUUUAUAUUCUAAAGAAUAUGAAUUCCAUCCUUCAUCUUCCUCGUUGAUACACAUUUUCUGAUGGCAAUUCAAUGAUUUCGUUCUCUACGACUAAAUUAAUUCGAUGUGUAUUGAAAUUUGAUCUGCCAACUUCUUCUUCGCGAUUUUCAUCUGAAUCACAUAGAUCAAAUUUCAAUUAUUACGUAUAUCUUUGUUAUUUCAGAAAAAAAAUAUGAGAACCAUUAGAUGGGCGCACCCAAUAUGGCCGCACCUAAUCCUAGGUCAUCGAAUUUAAUUAUAUGUCUAUCAUAGAAUAUAUAUAUAUGUAAAUAAUAUUAGAGUUAGAAUAAUAAACCUGUCAUUAUAUGCGUUUCGAGUUGAGAAGAAUGGUGAAUAUAAAGAUUGUCGAUGGUUUGGCUACCGUUUUGUCUUUCGUCGUCAUCCUUCUUCAUAUAUGUUCUGAAAACAGUAUAUGCGAGAAAAACUAAAGUCAUUGAGACGAAAACCAGCGAUGCUAUAGGAAGAUUAAUAGCCUCAUCUGGCAUUGGUGGUGGAAUUGAAGAACUCAUUAUAUUGCCAAAGGGAAAAAGAAACCAAUAUAUCAAUGCAAACUCUUAAGUCGAUAAUGGUUAUCGCGAC